GAUGAACGCUGGCGGCGUGCCUAAUACAUGCAAGUCGAGCGAACGGACGAGAAGCUUGCUUCUCUGAUGUUAGCGGCGGACGGGUGAGUAACACGUGGAUAACCUACCUAUAAGACUGGGAUAACUUCGGGAAACCGGAGCUAAUACCGGAUAAUCUUUUGAACCGCAUGGUUCAAAAGUGAAAGACGGUCUUGCUGUCACUUAUAGAUGGAUCCGCGCUGCAUUAGCUAGUUGGUAAGGUAACGGCUUACCAAGGCAACGAUGCAUAGCCGACCUGAGAGAGUGAUCGGCCACACUGGAACUGAGACACGGUCCAGACUCCUACGGGAGGCAGCAGUAGGGAAUCUUCCGCAAUGGGCGAAAGCCUGACGGAGCAACGCCGCGUGAGUGAUGAAGGUCUUCGGAUCGUAAAACUCUGUUAUUAGGGAAGAACAGAUGUGUAAGUAACUGUGCACAUCUUGACGGUACCUAAUCAGAAAGCCACGGCUAACUACGUG
rnacentral:rRNA from 1 species